rnacentral:misc_RNA from 1 species
GGAUUAUCAAGAAUGGCGUGCAGGAGUGUGUUGAGAACGGUAUUGUUAAAGGAACCAUGGUUAUCUCUUCCAAGGAAUCCCACCUCUUUUCCUCUACCAUUAUUUUAUAACCACAAAUCUUCUUUAUCCAUUUUCCCUUGUCGCUGUAAAUGUAAAUCCCCAAAUUAUAGAAGAACUCAGUUUCUUAAUUGCUCCAAUAACGGAAACCCAGAUGAACAGGGUCCUCCUCAAGAAGUUGUCCUUAAGGCCAUUUCAGAAGUGUCCAAGACAGAAGGGAGAGUUGGACAAACUACCAAUGUUGUUAUUGGAGGCACCGUGCAUGAUGAUUCAACUAAUGAGUGGCUAGCUCUCGAUAAGAAGGUGAAUUCUUACCCAACUGAAAGAGGCUUUACAGCUAUUGGUACUGGAGGUGAUGAUUUUGUGCAUUCUAUGAUUGUUGCUGUAGAGUCAGUGAUACAACAGCCCGUUCCCCAGGGACAGGUGAAGCAGAAGCUAUCUUCAGGUGGAAAAUACGUAUCAGUAAAUAUCGGACCCAUUCAAGUUGUUUCCAGUGAGCAGGUUCAAGCUGUAUACGAGGCCAUGAAGAGAGAUGUUAGGAUGAAAUACUUUCUGUAAACUACUUCCGUCACUACCUUUGUAUAUAAUGGCAAUACCUAAGAGAGUGUCAUUAUAUACAAAGGUAGUGAC